GCUCAGAGCUCGCCGCCAAGGGGCGUGGCCUCCGGGCCGCGGCGGCCUCUGGGAGUUGUAGUCCCGCCUCAACUUGUGGUGGCCUCUUUAAAAAAACAAAAAACAAACAAACAAAAAAACACUGGCGCUUGGGUCCGUCGCUGCCUCGGUGUCCCUGUCGGGCUUCCCAGCAGCGGCCUAGUGGAAAAGUAAAAGAUGUCUGAAUAUAUUCGGGUAACCGAAGAUGAGAACGAUGAGCCCAUUGAAAUACCAUCGGAAGACGAUGGGACGGUGCUGCUGUCCACGGUUACAGCCCAGUUUCCAGGGGCGUGUGGGCUUCGCUGCAGGAAUCCGGUGUCUCAAUGUAUGAGAGGUGUCCGGCUGGUAGAAGGAAUUCUGCAUGCCCCCGAUGCUGGCUGGAGAAAUCCGGUGUAUGUUGUCAACUAUCCGAAAGAUAACAAAAGAAAAAUGGGUGAGACAGAAGCUUCAUCAGCAGUGAAAGUGAAAAGACCAGUCCGAUUUAAUAGUGUUGGGUCUCCCAUGGAAAACAACUGAACAGGACCUGAAAGAGUACUGUAGUACCUUUGGAGACGUUCUUAUGGUGCGGCAAAGCCAAGAUGAGCCUUUGAGAAGCAGAAAAGUGUUUGUGGGGCGCCGUACGGAGGACAUGACUGAGGAUGAGCUGUGGGAGUUCUUCUCUCAGUAUGGGGAUGUGAUGGAUGUCUUCGUCCCCAAGCCGUUCAGGGCCUUUGCCUUUGUUCCAUUUGCAGAUGAUCAGAUUGCGCGGUCUCUUUGUGGAGAGGACUCGAUGAAAGGAAUCAGCGUUCACAUAUCCAAUGCCGAACCCAAGCGCAAUAGCAAUAGACAGCAAGAAGUGGAAGAUUUGGUGGUAAUCCAGGUGGCUUUGGGAAUCAGGGUGGAUUUGGUAAGAGUAGAGGGGGUGGAGCUGGUUUGGGAAACAAUCAAGGUAGUAAUAUGGGUGGUGGGAUAAACUUUGGUGCGUUCAGCAUUAAUCCAGCCAUGAUGGCUGCCCCCCAGGCAGUGCUGCAGAGCAGUUGGUGUACGAUGGGUGUGUUAGCCAGCCAGCGAAGCAGCCAGGCCCAUCGGAUGAUAACCAAAGCCAAGGCAACAUGCAGAGGGAGCCAAACCAGGCCUUCGGUUCUGGAAAUAACUCUUGUAGUGGUUCUAAUUUUGGUGCAACAAUUGGUUGGGGAUCAGCAUCCAAUGCAGGGUCGGGCAGUGGUUUUAAUGGCGGCUUUGGCUCAAGCAUGGAUUCUAAGUCUUCUGGCUGGGAACGUAGACAGUGGGGUUGUGGUUGGUUGGUAUAGAAUGGUUGGAAUUCAAAUUUUUCUAAACUCAUGGUAAGUAUAUUGUAAAAUACAUAUGUACUAAGAAUUUUCAAAAUUGGUUUCUUCAGUGUGGAGUAUAUUCAGUAGUAUUUUUGACAUUUUUCUUUAGAAAAAGGAACAGCUAAAGGAAUUUUAUAAGUUUUGUUACAUGAAAGGUUGAAAUAUUGAGUGGUUGAAAGUGAACUGCUGUUUGCCUGAUUGGUAAACCAACACACUACAAUUGAUAUCAGAAGGUUUCUCCUGUAAUAUUUUAUCCCUGGACUUGUCAAGUGAGUUCUUUGCAUGUUCAAAAUGGAAGCCAUGAAUUAGAACUACAUUCUUUAUUCCUUGUUUUAAUUUGAACCCCACCAUAUGGAUUUUUUUCCUUAAGAAAAUCUCCUUUUAGAAGAUCAUGGUGUCACAGUUUGGUUCUUUUGUUUUGUUUUUUAACACUUGUCUCCCCUCAAACACAAAAGUACAAUAUGAAGCCUUCAUUUAAUCUCUGCAGUUCAUCUCAUUUCAAAUGUUUAUGGAAGAAGCACUUGGUUGAAAGUAGUGCUGUAAAUAUUCUGCCAUAGGAACACUUCUGUCUACAUGCCUUCUCAUUCAAGAAUUCGUCAUCACGCAUCACAGGCCGCGUCUUUGACGGUGGGUGUCCCAUUUUUAUCUGCUACUCUUUAUUUCAUAGAGUCGUAUCAACGCUGUGAACGCAAGGCUGUGAUAUGGAACUAGAAGGCUGUUUGAACUUUUGAAACCUUGUGUGGGAUUGACGGUGGUGCUGAGGCAUGAAAGGCUAGUAUGAGUGAGAAAAGGAGAGAGCACGUGCAGAGACUUGGUGGUGCAUAACGGAUAUUUUUUAACUUGGCGAGAUGUGUUUCUCAAUCCUGCGGCUUUGGUGACAGUGUGCAGACAGCAAUGAUAGCAAAUAAUGUACGAAUGUUUUUUGCAUUCAAAGGACAUCCACAUCUGUUGGAAGACUUUGAGUUUUUGUUCUUAGAUAACCCACUUUAUUUGAAUGUGUUAAGUGAAAUGAUACUUGUACUCCCCCUACCCCUUUGUCAACUGCUGUGAAUGCUGUAUGGUGUGUGUUCUCUUCUGUUACUGAUAUGUAAGUGUGGCAAUGUGAACUGAAGCUGAUGGGCUGAGAACAUGGACUGAGCUUGUGGUGUGCUUUGCAGGAGGACUUGGAAGCAGAGUUCAGCAGUGAACUCUGGUGUCUCAAAGAAGGGUAGAAGUUCUAAUGUCUGUUAGCUACCCAUAAGAAUGCUGUUUGCUGCAGUUCUGUGUCCUGUGCUUGGAUGCUUUUUAUAAGAGUUGUCAUUGUUGGAAAUUCUUAAAUAAAACUGAUUUAAA